GACGAACGCUGGCGGCGUGCUUAACACAUGCAAGUCGAACGGAAAGGCCCUGCUUUUGUGGGGUGCUCGAGUGGCGAACGGGUGAGUAACACGUGAGUAACCUGCCCUUGACUUUGGGAUAACUUCAGGAAACUGGGGCUAAUACCGGAUAGGAGCUCCUGCUGCAUGGUGGGGGUUGGAAAGUCUCGGCGGUCGGGGAUGGACUCGCGGCUUAUCAGCUUGUUGGUGGGGUAGUGGCUUACCAAGGCUUUGACGGGUAGCCGGCCUGAGAGGGUGACCGGCGACAUUGGGACUGAGAUACGGCCCAGACUCCUACGGGAGGCAGCAGUGGGGAAUAUUGCACAAUGGGCGGAAGCCUGAUGCAGCAACGCCGCGUGCGGGAUGACGGCCUUCGGGUUGUAAACCGCUUUCGCCUGUGACGAAGCGUGAGUGACGGUAAUGGGUAAAGAAGCACCGGCUAACUACGUG
rnacentral:rRNA from 1 species